rnacentral:rRNA from 1 species
GAUGAACGCUAGCGAUAGGCUUAACACAUGCAAGUCGAGGGGCAGCAUGGUCUUAGCUUGCUAAGGCUGAUGGCGACCGGCGCACGGGUGCGUAACGCGUAUGCAACUUGCCUCACAGAGGGGGAUAACCCGUCGAAAGACGGACUAAUACCGCGUACACUCUAUGUUGGGCAUCCAAUGUAGAGGAAAUGAAAUUCGCUGUGAGAUAGGCAUGCGUCCCAUUAGCUAGUUGGUGAGGUAACGGCUCACCAAGGCGACGAUGGGUAGGGGAACUGAGAGGUUGAACCCCCACACUGGUACUGAGACACGGACCAGACUCAUACGGGAGGCAGCAGUGAGGAAUAUUGGUCAAUGGGCGAGAGCCUGAACCAGCCAAGUCGCGUGAAGGAUGACUGUCUUAUGGAUUGUAAACUUCUUUUAUACGGGAAUAACAAGAGUCACGUGUGGCUCCCUGCAUGUACCGUAUGAAUAAGCAUCGGCUAACUCCGUG